rnacentral:rRNA from 1 species
CCCUUAGAAGUCCUGGGCCGCACGCGCGUUACACUGAUGCAUUCAACGAGCUUAUAACCUUGGCCGAGAGGCCCGGGCAAUCUUGUUAACGUGCAUCGUGAUAGGGAUAGAUUAUUGAAAUUAUUAAUCUUGAACGAGGAAUUCCUAGUAAACGCAGAUCAUCAAUCUGCAUUGAUUACGUCCCUGCCCUUUGUACACACCGCCCGUCGCACCUACCGAUUGGAUGGUCCGGUGAAGCCUCGGGAUUGUGGUUCUUGCCGCUUUAUUGUGGCGUGACCGCGAGAACUUGUCUAAACCUUAUCAUCUAGAGGAAGGUGAAGUCGUAACA